GUGCUUGCAAUGGCAGCACAUAUACUAAAAUUGGAAUGAUACAGAAAAGAUUAACAUGGCCCCCGUGCAAGGAUGACAUGCAAAUCCGUGAAGCGUUCCAUAUUUUU
ensembl:snRNA U6 U6 spliceosomal RNA